rnacentral:lncRNA from 1 species
CUUGACAGUAAGGAAAGGAGGGGGGACUGUGGUUUCAUGGGGAAGGAAAUAAGAAGAGUUGGAUUUAAGUCAAGAUGAAAAAACUAUAUUGAAGUGGGUGCCUGAAGACUUCAAUGGUAUAUAUAACAAAAUGUCUGAUCUCCAACGGAAAUGAAUUAGGGCCAUAAGUGUUUAUGGUUUGUUAUCUGUGUUGGUGAAGUUGAGGUGAAUAAAGCAGCAUAUAUGAAUACUCUCCAGCUAUCUGUUACACCCUGUCAACUAAAAUGUCUAGAGGGAACACUCUGGUGUGAGGCUCUUCACCAUGGUCCAGACCAUGACUUCUGAAGCUGCAGGAAAAUAAGGAGACUGAGGAAUGCCAAGGUAUUCUUCCCCGCUGAAAAAUUUCUUCAAGUGAAGAAGCACAUUAGAAGCCUCCCUGACUUUUGCCACUACCAUUGAAGUGUUGCACUUUUUAAAUCUAAUGCAAGAUUAUAGGUAAAUCAGAAAAGCUCCUGAAAUAAUAGACACAUCGAAAAGAAUAUGGAUAAUGGAAGAUAUGCUGGACUUGACAUCAAAUCAGAAGACCAGAAUUUGAAGGUUAGUUUCAGUACUUAUUUGUAUGACCGUGAGCACUUUAUUUGCCCAAGUCUCAACUAUCUCUUCUAUUACAUAAGGUUAAAUGAGGUUGAAAAUUGCUCCUGUGGGUCCCUGCCAGAGAGAUCAGACAGCCAACAUCUCGGACAGCCCAUGGGGUUGCUGAAAGGCAAGACUGGAGAAGGCCCCACAUGGCCCACCUCUCCUUGUUCCCAGAGCUGCAGUGCCCACCCUGUAGCAUCUGUCACCUCUUCUGGAUCCCUUCCUGUCUCUCCAUCCUGAGUUCUUCCCGGAGAGGCAGUGUGAGGAGUACCAACCUGGACCCUGCUGCCGAAGGAAUGCAAAUCCUGACUCUGCCCUUUGCAGCAUAGCCUUGGACAAGCUGAGGACCUGCCCCUUCCCUGCCUCAUCCUCCUCUAUAAACUGAGGAUAGUAACAGCACACCUCACCCCGUCACAAGGAUUAAAUGAGUCAAUAUGUACCUAGGGCUGGGAGGCUGCCUCGAAUAGAGCAAGGGUGAAGCAAAUGCGAUUAGCCAUUAUCACAAUAGCAGCCUUCCUGGAUCUCUCUCUCCUCUGAACACCAUACUCUCCCCACAACACACACACACUCUAGAGUUCUAAAAGGGCUGAGUUUUGUUGCACUUCCAUGCAACUUCCUCUGAAAAGGACUGAUCUUUGAAAUGCUAAGGAUUAUCCUCAGUAUUGGUGAUUAUGAUUCCUUUUUUUUCCCUCAGCACUAUGGGUUAAACCCAGGGCCUUCACACUGAGCUACAUCCCCAGCCUUCUUUUUAUUUUCCAUCUUGACACAGG